rnacentral:SRP_RNA from 1 species
UACUAACUGCGGGGCAAGGUUAUACUCCGAAUUGGGUCAGGACCGGAAGGUAGCAGCCCUAAGGAUGCUGUAAUUUGUGCUUCGUAUACAUACAUUUA